GCCCCUGUAGCUCAGUGGUAGAGUGCUCCACUUAUUCUUAUCGGAUAGUAUUCUUAGGAGAGGGUCGCGGUUCGAAUCCGCGCAGGGGCA